rnacentral:rRNA from 1 species
ACCAGGUCAGGACACGGUAAGGAUUGACGGACUGAAGGCUCUUUCUCGAUUCCGUGGAAAGUGGUGCAUGGCCGUUUUUGGUUGGUGGAUCGAUCCGUCUGGUUAAUUCCGUUAACGAACGAGACCUCGGCACUCCGAAUAGCGCGGCGGACGUCGCGGCCUCCGGGCCGUCUUCCGCACGAGCUUCUUAGAGGGACCGUCCCCCGCCGGGGAAGGAGGUGCGAGGCAACGACAGGUCUGUGAUGCCCUUAGAUGUUCUGGGCCGCACGCGCAUUACACUGACGCGUCCAACGGGUGACUCCCGACCCGAAGGGGCCGGGGAAUCCGCAAGGCGCGUCGUGAUGGGGAUUGAACGUUGCAAUUGUUGUUCACGAACGAGGAAUUCCUAGUAGGCGCGGGUCAUCAACCCGCGCCGAUUACGUCCCUGCCC